UUGGGAGGCCGAGGCAGGCAGAUCACAAGGUCAAAAGAUGGAGAUCAUCCUGGCCAACAUGGUGAAACCCCAUCUCUACUAAAAAUACAAAAAUUAGCCAGGCGUAGUGGCAUGCGCCUGUAGUCCCAGCUACUCGGGAGGCUGAGGCAGGAGACUCACUUGAACCAGGGAGGCGGAGGUUGCAGUGAGCCGAAAUUGUGCCACUGCACUCCAGCCCGGGCAACAGAGUGAGACUCUGUCUCAAAAAAAAAAAAAAAAAAGAAAGAAAAAAAAAGGCAGGCAGAUCGUGAUUGUGGAGGGGGCUCGAAACGUGGAGAUGAGUUUGCCAGAUUUUUUUUUCUCCCCCUCUCUUUUUUUCAUUUCUCUCAUGGCUUUGCCUUGAAGGGGCAAACAUCUGUGGCAGAGCUCUGUUAGGGGCAGAACGAGAAGUCAACACUCAGAAAAAUCCCAUGUUUCUGGGCACCGGAGUUGGGAGCAGGGGGAUGAGGGAUCCUGUCAGCUGAAGAAGGUGGAGACAAUCAUAGAAGAAAGCGGGUAAAAGGGGUUCCCUUAUCCCGAAUAUGAAACCACACAGGUCUGAGCUCCCCUCGGAGCUACCUAGGCAUGCGACAGACCCCAAACAACACUGCAGCCUUUGAAAACUGAAAGGAGACAGGAAUCACUAUCCACAGAAAGCCAGACAGAACUUCCAGAAUGUCAGGCCUCUGAGCCCAAGCCAAGCCAAGCCAUCGCAUCCCCUGUGACUUGCAUGUACACAUCCAGAUGGCCUGAAGUAACUGAAGACACAAAAGAAGUAAAAAUAGCCUUAACUGAUGACAUUCCACCAUUGUGAUUUGUUUCUGCCCCACCCUAACUGAUCAAUGUACUUUGUAAUCUCCCCCACCCUUAAGAAGGUACUUGGUAAUCAAUCUCCCCCACCCUUAAGAAGGUUCUUUGUAAUUCUCCCCACCCUUGAGAAUGUAUUUUGUGAGAUCCACCCCUGCCUGCAAAACAUUGGUCUUAACUUCACCGCCUAUCCCAAAACCUGUAAGAACUAAUGAUAAUCCACCACCCUUUGCUGACUCUCUUUUCGGACUCAGCCCACCUGCACCCAGGUGAUUAAAAGCUUUUAUUGCUCACACAAAGCCUGUUUGGUGGUCCCUUCACAUGGAUGCGCAUGAAACAGAGAACAUGCAAGAAUGGCAACCAUGCUGUCAAGGGUUCCAACACCUCUCUGGC
rnacentral:lncRNA from 1 species